UAGAUGUUCUGGGCCGCACGCGCGCUACACUGAUCAAGUCAACGAGUUUACAACCUUGGCCGGAAGGUCUGGGUAAUCUUUUGAAACUUGAUCGUGCUGGGGAUAGUCCAUUGCAAUUAUUGGACUUCAACGAGGAAUUCCUAGUAAGCGUGAGUCAUCAGCUCGCGUUGAUUACGUCCCUGCCCUUUGUACACACCG
rnacentral:rRNA from 1 species